UCAAGACGGGCGGCUUAAGAUCAUUACGCCAGCAUCCUAGUCAAAGACGCAGUCCUCGGUCUAGAUAGGCAGUAUCAACAAAGUCUAUAACACUUCACCGAAGUAAAGCUACAUUCCAAUGUCAUUAUCCUACCAUCCAAACCGAUGCUGGCCCAGUAAACUGCGAGGAACCCAACCAAAAAGGAAGGGAACGCAAAAUACCAAGUCUGAUCUCAAGCCCUUCCCUUUCAACAAUUUCACGUACUUUUUCACUCUCUUUUCAAAGUUCUUUUCAUCUUUCCAUCACUGUACUUGUUCGCUAUCGGUCUCUCGCCAAUAUUUAGCUUUAGAUGGAAUUUACCACCCACUUAGAGCUGCAUUCCCAAACAACUCGACUCUUCGAAAGCACUUUACAUGGAAUUGGGCAUCUCAUCGCACGGGAUUCUCACCCUCUGUGACGUCCUGUUCCAAGGAACAUAGACAAGAGCCAAAACCAAAGUUACCUUCUUCAAAUUACAACUCGAACACUGAAAGUGCUAGAUUUCAAAUUUGAGCUUUUGCCGCUUCACUCGCCGUUACUGAGGCAAUCCCUGUUGGUUUCUUUUCCUCCG
rnacentral:rRNA from 1 species